CCGCCGCGUCGAGCACCGGCGCCUGGCCGCUGCGCGCGGGUGGGGCCCAGGUGACCGGGUCCAGGGCCUGUUCGACGCGGGCGCGGUGGCCC
rnacentral:tRNA from 1 species